CCAAAUGAAAGAACACAUUUUUCAUCAAUAGCAGUUCACUUAGUGAGUGUUGAGACUUUGGGUCUGAGUGA